ACCUGGCUGACUCAGUCAGUAGGGAAUGAGACUCUUAAUCUCAGGGUUGUGGGUUCGAGCCCCAUUCUUGGUG
rnacentral:tRNA from 1 species